rnacentral:rRNA from 1 species
UACGGAGGGUGCAAGCGUUAUCCGGAUUUACUGGGUUUAAAGGGUGCGUAGGUGGAUUAAUAAGUCAGUGGUGAAAUCCUACAGCUUAACUGUAGAACUGCCAUUGAUACUGUUAGUCUUGAGUGUAGUUGAAGUGGGCGGAAUGUGGCGUGUAGCGGUGAAAUGCUUAGAUAUGCCACAGAACACCGAUAGCGAAGGCAGCUUGCUAAACUACUACUGACACUGAGGCACGAAAGCGUGGGUAGCGAACAGG